UGGGGAAUUUUGGGCAAUGGGCGAAAGCCUGACCCAGCAACGCCGCGUGAGGGACGAAAUCCCUCAGGGAUGUAAACCUCGAAAGUUGGGGAAGAAAGCUCGAUGGGGAAUAUCCAUCGAGGAUGACGGUACCCAAUAUAAGCCCCGGCUAACUACGUGCCAGCAGCCGCGGUAAUACGUAGGGGGCAAGCGUUGUUCGGAAUUACUGGGCGUAAAGGGCGCGUAGGCGGCAUGACAAGUCGGGAGUGAAAGCCCGGGGCUCAACCCCGGAAUGUCUUUCGAAACUGUCAAGCUAGAGUGCGGAAGAGGCAACUGGAAUUCCCAGUGUAGCGGUGAAAUGCGUAGAUAUUGGGAAGAACACCGGAGGCGAAGGCGGGUUGCUGGGCCGACACUGACGCUGAGGCGCGAAAGCCAGGGGAGCAAACGGG
rnacentral:rRNA from 1 species